rnacentral:rRNA from 1 species
AAGGCUGAGCUGUGAUGGGGAAGCUCCUUAUGGAGCGAAGUCUUUGAUUCCCCGCUGCCAAGAAAAGCUUCUAGCGAGAUAAAAGGUGCCUGUACCGCAAACCGACACAGGUAGGCGAGGAGAGAAUCCUAAGGUGUGCGAGAGAACUCUGGUUAAGGAACUCGGCAAAAUGACCCCGUAACUUCGGGAGAAGGGGUGCUUUCUUAACGGAAAGCCGCAGUGAAUAGGCCCAAGCGACUGUUUAGCAAAAACACAGCUCUCUGCGAAGCCGUAAGGCGAAGUAUAGGGGGUGACACCUGCCCGGUGCUGGAAGGUUAAGGAGAGGGGUUAGCGUAAGCGAAGCUCUGAACUGAAGCCCCAGUAAACGGCGGCCGUAACUAUAACGGUCCUAAGGUAGCGAAAUUCCUUGUCGGGUAAGUUCCGACCCGCACGAAAGGUGUAACGAUUUGGGCACUGUCUCAACCAGAGACUCGGUGAAAUUAUAGUACCUGUGAAGAUGCAGGUUACCCGCGACAGGACGGAAAGACCCCGUGGAGCUUUACUGUAGCCUGAUAUUGAAUUUUGGUACAGUUUGUACAGGAUAGGCGGGAGCCUUUGAAACCGGAGCGCUAGCUUCGGUGGAGGCGCUGGUGGGAUACCGCCCUGACUGUAUUGAAAUUCUAACCUACGGGUCUUAUCGACCCGGGAGACAGUGUCAGGUGGGCAGUUUGACUGGGGCGGUCGCCUCCUAAAGUGUAACGGAGGCGCCCAAAGGUUCCCUCAGAAUGGUUGGAAAUCAUUCGUAGAGUGCAAAGGCAUAAGGGAGCUUGACUGCGAGACCUACAAGUCGAGCAGGGACGAAAGUCGGGCUUAGUGAUCCGGUGGUUCCGCAUGGAAGGGCCAUCGCUCAACGGAUAAAAGCUACCCCGGGGAUAACAGGCUUAUCUCCCCCAAGAGUCCACAUCGACGGGGAGGUUUGGCACCUCGAUGUCGGCUCAUCGCAUCCUGGGGCUGUAGUCGGUCCCAAGGGUUGGGCUGUUCGCCCAUUAAAGCGGUACGCGAGCUGGGUUCAGAACGUCGUGAGACAGUUCGGUCCCUAUCCGUCGUGGGCGUAGGAAAUUUGAGAGGAGCUGUCCUUAGUACGAGAGGACCGGGAUGGACGCACCGCUGGUGUACCAGUUGUUCUGCCAAGGGCAUAGCUGGGUAGCUAUGUGCGGAAGGGAUAAGUGCUGAAAGCAUCUAAGCAUGAAGCCCCCCUCAAGAUGAGAUUUCCCAUAGCGUAAGCUAGUAAGAUCCCUGAAAGAUGAUCAGGUUGAUAGGUUCGAGGUGGAAGCAUGGUGACAUGUGGAGCUGACGAAUACUAAUAGAUCGAGGACUUAACC